UGAGUAUGGAUAAGUAUAUGACCUGAUAUCCUUCAAUUCACAAGAAUACACAAAAUACAAGAUGCAGGAUAGUAGUCAUAUAAAUUACAUAUUAAAACAAGACAUCUAUUAAUUGUGGCUUUUGACAUAUGUCAACAUGAAAACACAUUCAAAUAUAGGGCUGUACACCAUAACAUUCAUGUAACUAUUUUUCAACAGUGUAAAAGAAAAUGGGAACUUUAUAUCCAGAUGUAAUACUCAUUAAGUGUAUCUGUGGUUUUCGAGAAGUUGCAGUCCCACAUCAAGUAGAGUAGCACACUAAUCUACUGCGCCUUCAGUUAGCCUAAACUUGCAGCCUAAAAGAGUCAUACAUGGUGCUAAUGAGGUGAUGCUGCUAACUGGUUGUGUUUCCAUUGAUGGAUAGGAUAAGUGUGUGGUCAUAAUCUUUAAUCAAAUGAGAUAAAGAAUGCCACUUACAUAGUCAAUGUAUACUGCAGAACAUUAAACACGAGCAUGGUAAGGGAGGGAUGUGCAAGUCAAAAGUAUUUUACCUAUGAAAUUAGGGAAUGGACAAGAGAAGUGAUGGCUAGCAUUAGCACAGCAAAUGUUUCACAAUUAUAAUUUCCUAGAAUGCUCAGUCAGAAGGCUAACUGAGUAUUAUGGGCAACAUCGUUGAUGAAUUAUCACUGUAUUUCUGCUUGCAGAAUGUAGGGUUAGGCUAUAACUUAAAGGGACACUAUAGUCACCAAAACAACUUUAGCUUAAUGAAACAGUUUUAGUGUAUAGAUCAUGCAUCUGAAGUUCCACUGCUCAAUUCUCUGCUAUUUAGGAGUUAAAUCACUAUGGUGACUGACAGCCUGCAUGAAAACAACAUGGUUUCAUUUUCAAUCAUAUGUAUCUUACUUUUAACAUUUUUAUCUCCUGCUUUGUAAAUUGGACUUUAAUUACAUACAGGAGGCAGUGCAGGAGAUAAGAAAUUCUAAAUUAAACAAUAAAGGAAGUGUAAACAAUAGGAAGGCUGUGUUAGUCACAUGCAGAGUGGUGUGAC